GACGAACGCUGGCGGCGUGCUUAACACAUGCAAGUCGAGCGGAGCGGCGAACGGGUGAGUAACGCGUGAGUAACUGCCCCCCUCUCUGGGAUAACAGUUGGAAACGGCUGCUACUACCGGAUCGUGGGGGAUGCCUCGCGUCCUAUCAUCUUGUUGGGUGGGUAGUGGCCUACCAAGGCGACGACGGAUAGCCGGCCUGAGAGGACGACCGGCCACAUUGGGCUGAGAUACGGCCCAAACUCCUACGGGAGGCAGGAGUGGGGAAUAGUGCACAAGGGGGGAAACCCUGAUGCAGCAACGCCGCGUGCGGGAUGACGGCCUUCGGGUUGUAAACCGCUGUCAGCCAUGACGCGGUAGUGGCAGAAGAAGCACCGGCUAACUACGUGCCAGCAGCCGCGGUAAUUC
rnacentral:rRNA from 1 species